AGCGUUCUCAUCUUUAAACCUAUAGCCUGCAGGGGCAUGACUUAAACACACUCAGUAAGCUAAACUAACAGUCUCACACAUGCUAACUGUGCUAAGCUGUAGGCUUCCAGUGUGUCUGCAUUAACUGAGGAGGGAUGGCCUUUAUAGCAAGUCAUUCUAUCAACCUGUGGUAAUAUGAAACAUGCUGUUUUCUUUUACUUUUUAUCCAUCCUUGGUGCUACACAAUCAUUGUUGCAUUUUUAUUUCAAUCUUUGGUGUUCAAAAGAUGUGUGUGUGGUGUUUUGUAUUUUGUUUCUCUGCUUGGUGCUAAGUAGUUUUUACUGUGGUGCCUUUUCUGUCUUUAUCCUUAAUGCAAAACACUCACAGCUGGUUUUGUGGGGUUUUCUGUGAGCAAUGAGAGCAACUUCAUCGAAGCUCCAAAAAUCUUAGGCUUUCAUCGUCCUUUUAAAGGACUGAUUCUAGUAUGAGUUACUUCAACCACUUUUAUUUGGAACAGGCUUAUAUUAGAGACAUAUUUGUGUAUUUAUGUAUUACCUGUUUAAGUACAUCUUAUCAAGUUUUAGUUAGAAGUCUCCCUGUUUUCUGGUCUGCUCCUGUUUUAAUUUGAUGACAAUGCAAACUCAACCCUUCCUCCAUGUUUACCUGUUGUCUUUAUAAAUUCAGUUUAAUGUCCAUUUCCACAGCACUAAUUCCAUCAGUACAAUAACAGUCAUGUCAUACUCACCACUGUGCUACUCUCAGUUUCUAUUUUCAACAGAAAUAUUGUUUUCAAUCAAUGAUUCCAAACUAUUCUCUUUUACUUUGCCAUUUUUUCGUUCAGUGAUGUUGGGACCACUGUACUCCACCAUUGGAAUUUAUUCAUUUGUGGGACUUCAACUGAACUUUUAUUAGGAGACCGCAUGUUCUUUUGUAUUGUAAACAAAGGGAAGCCAUUGAACUCAGCAUUCCACAAUCCUGAGGGCCACUGAUCUCAGCAAUUCCAGCUACCAUUGGUCAGUCUGACCUGUGACCCGUGAUGUCACCAGGUCAAUUAAAAGGGGUCAGCGGCCACUCUUUUUCUGCUCUUCUCUCCUUGCCUGCACCUCGGGGAGGUCUGUGUUAUGCAGACCUACCAACGAAGAACAAAGGAUUGCGGCCACAACACGAGGGCCUGCCUUUGCCUUAAGAUUUAUGGUUAGCUCACAGCUAAUCAAACUCUUCUUCAGCAGCAGACAGUGGCUGCUGUCUCCCUCUUUAUGUGGCCUGCUAACAGCAAACACACUGCAGAACUGAACUCUCUCUCUUACAUCAGCGAUGCAAGGGGCUGCGUAAGAUUCCUGCAACAAUAGUUAGCGUAGACAGUUGCCACACACAGUCUGCCAGCUAACUUUAAGAACUGACUUUGAGGAGAACAACAGACUGAGCAACCAGUUCCUCAAUCUACACAAAUGGACUGCACAGCAAGGACUUUCUUCAAUCGUAACCAACAUUCUUCCCUGCCUGGCUUAUCCAACGGGACCGCCAGAUAAUCACAGCAACUUCUUCCUUUACAGGCUGUGUGGAUGCUGACGAGGUGGGCCACCAACAGAGUGGAAGGAGGAGGAGAUGAAGAGGAAGGCUGUCUCCACCUGACCAACCACAAAUAUACCCUACAGGACCAGGAAGAAUACCCCAUUCUGAUGCAAGGUUCCCGGGCUCACCUGACUGAUGCCUGCUCACUCAGUCAAUCAGAGGUGAGGAAGCCAGGCUGAUUCAGUGGGUGUUGAACAUGAGGAGAAAGAGGUGGACUCCCUCUGGCACUUCCACCUCUCGCCUCACUCUGCAGCGAGCACUUUGAGGAGGAUCAGCUCAUCACAGGUAUCCACACGGUGAAAACUGAAUGACCACAUAAGGAAAACCUGAUGGAUUGAGCAGCGUGCGUUUGGUGCCAUCCAUCUGGUUGUGGAGAAGAGAGACGAUAUGGACAUCAUCCUCCGUUCUCAAAAGACUUAUGAAGAUGAUGCUACAAUCAACUUACAGUUCAGGUUUUCUGAAUUAAAGACAGACCCACAGUGGAAGCUUAUGUGAAUCAUUGAAGGACCUCUCCAACUUAGUUACUUCUUUCCUGUAUAGGAUCUUCUUUUUGCGCUAUAGCUGAUAGUCAUUGCAUAUUUUUACAAAUACAGUUUAAAGAACUGGCAGGCUGGAGUUCAAGGAUGAAACAAUCCCAGUGCACUAGGUCACACAAGUGAAAAGAACUUUCCAGUUUGAGAUUAAUGGGUUCACCUGGGAGCAUAAUAUCUCCUGUAAUAGAUGUGUACUAUAAAUCUUGACUCUUAUAUGAUAAUAUCCUGUGGAAAUAUCCUUUGUCAGUAUAUUAAAGCUGAGUUAUAAUAGUUGUAUUAAUAGCUGCGUAGAAACUAUAUUUAGUGGAAGAAUGCGAUAAAUAUGAGCCAUUGGGAAUGUUUUUUGUCAUCAGGUUGAAUAAUUUAAAAUAAAAUAGAAAUGAGUACAUUUUCUAUAAACUGACCACCCUUACCUGGUUUUGUAGAUUUGCCACAUACCUUGUUCAAUAUUUCAAAUGUAACAGGAGACUUUGGUGAAUUGUUUUGUGGUUCAGUAUAUUUGAUACGCACAUAUGAUAAGUCAGAAAAUCAAACUAUAUAUCUCUCUUCUGAUUCUUGGUUGUUAAUGUUAAGUGACAACUUAUUCACAUUUGUGUAUAAAUAAUAUUCACAUUAUUACACGUUAUUAUGUAUGCAAGAAGUAUAAGACGACAUUAAAUAUGGCCUUUUAAUGAAUAAUCUACAUUCUGACAAACAAAAAUGCCAUUAAUGUCUUUCUGUGAUUUGAUUAUUGUACAUAUUGAUAUUAAACUUAGUUCCAGAACUAUACCAUAGGAGAAAUCAACUUACUUAGAGCAACAAUUUAAUAAAUUACUUUAUUGCAUAUUAAAAAUAGCAGUAAAAAUAUUUUAGGAUCUAUUCAUACACAGAGCUGGACCAAGGUCAAGGUGUGCAAAUUUACAUACUGAAAUGAGGUAAUAGGCUUUAAGUGCUACAUCACAAAUAGUAAUAAGAAUCAAUAAAUAAAAAUAUCUGACAUGAUAAACACACAGUACAUAGUAACAUUACUUUUAUAUGUAAUGAGUAGUUUAAAGAGCCAGAGCUGCAGUCCAUAUAAGUACUGGAGGCUGGGGAGGAAAGGGAGAAGACAUUAGGAAGGAUUUUCAAACAACACUAAAAUCUAUCAGCCAUCACAUAAAUUAUGACAGACUUGGCCAGGUGAUGGGCUUAACAAAACAAAGAAAUUCUGUAAAGGUCGACUUCAACAAUGGAGAAACUGUCAGGCAUGGACACUUCACCGUUGUUGGAGUUGGGCUUUAGGGCACUAGGCAGUACUGUGUAAAAAUACUGUUCACUGUAGGGAUGAAAUGAACUUCAUCACACAAAAAUUGCCCAGGAGUGCCAAACCUUAUGAUGGUGAUGUACAAAGCUGCCACUUAAAAAAAAUGAAGAAAUAUUGCCAUAGCGCUGUUCACUGUCUUCCCCGGACUGGCAGCAGCUGUUCACCUGCAUGGCUGGGUGAGGCAGGUAAUGCAGUGUGGAGGGCAGUGAUGACAUGCAGGUGCUGCAGGGCCGAGCUGGAUGCUGGUGACCUCCUCAGGUCAUUCAACUGCAAUGGAUGAGGAGGACAUCCGGUACAGCUCGUACUGGUAGGGACUGGUCAGAGAAGGGUCUUCACCUCAGAACAACCCAGAUAUCAUCCACACCAAGGUUGGUCAUCAUGGUCUCCACAGCUAUCUGUGCCCCACGCUGGACUGCUGAUCCAGACUGGCUGUGGAUGGAAAAUACAUUGCAAUAGUGACUGCUGUAUCCUGAUGUAGUGUAGAGUCAAAAAGUAAGAGUUAGAAAACCCUGACUUGCUAGCUACCAUAUGUAGCGGCUUAUAGCCCUGAAAAGAGACCCCCUGGGCUAGUGGCUAAUGUAACAAGUUGUCUAGGAAAGUUAGGUUGAUAAGCGAUUGAAAUGCUUGUGUUUACCACAGAAAUUAUUCUGCCAUCGCUGUUGUCGCUAGCAUUGUAAAUUAGUGAGCAACCAGCAGUAAACUUGGCUAAAGUUAGCUAAGUUAACGUUACUUUGCUAGCGUUAGCUUAGGUUGUUAGCAAGCUAACUUUACCCAGGCCUAUCUAGCAUUAGCUUGUAAUACCUCAGCAUGAGGAUGUAGAUAGACACAAAAUGCCAACAACAGCCCUACAGUAAUAAACUAAUGUCUGAACUCUAGGUUGAACAUAGGGACGUUAUCUGAAGUAGAAAGCAACUUACCCU